rnacentral:rRNA from 1 species
UGGGGAAUUUUGGACAAUGGGCGAAAGCCUGAUCCAGCCAUGCCGCGUGUAUGAAGAAGGCCUUCGGGUUGUAAAGUACUUUUGUUAGGGAAGAAAAGCUUAUUGCUAAUAUCAGUGAGCCAUGACGGUACCUAAAGAAUAAGCACCGGCUAACUACGUGCCAGCAGCCGCGGUAAUACGUAGGGUGCAAGCGUUAAUCGGAAUUACUGGGCGUAAAGCGAGCGCAGGCGGUUAUUUAAGUCAGGUGUGA